rnacentral:rRNA from 1 species
CACGUAGGGUGCGAGCGUUGUCCGGAAUUAUUGGGCGUAAAGAGCUCGUAGGCGGUGUGUCGCGUCGGCCGUGAAAACCUGCAGCUUAACUGUGGGCUUGCGGUCGAUACGGGCAUCACUGGAGUUCGGCAGGGGAGACUGGAAUUCCUGGUGUAGCGGUGAAAUGCGUAGAUAUCUGGAGGAACACCGGUGGCGAAGGCGGCAUCCUGGACCAAUAUUGACGCUGAGGAGCGAAAGCCAGGGGAGCAAACGGG